UCCUGCGACAUAUAAUUUUGAAUUCUUUUCUAAUAGUCAUGGUUUUGUAUAAUACAUAUACAUAUUACUUAGUUCCUAGUAUAGUUAAUAGAACCAGAGACAUAUAUAUGUCUCUGAUAGAACUAUAUCAACGUAUGUGCACGGGCAUUUCGAUAAGCGGGUACUCGAUGUACCGAAUCUAAAAAGUAUUCACAUUUAAAAAAA
rnacentral:lncRNA from 1 species